AGGGCGGGACACGUGAUAUCCUGUCUGAAUAUGGGGGGACCAUCCUCCAAGGCUAAAUACUACUGACUGACCGAUAGUGAACCAGUACCGUGAGGGAAAGGCGAAAAGAACCCCUGUGAGGGGAGUGAAAUAGAACCUGAAACCGUGUACGUACAAGCAGUAGGAGCAGGCUUUGUCCUGUGACUGCGUACCUUUUGUAUAAUGGGUCAGCGACUUAUAUUCAGUGGCAAGGUUAACCAUCUAGGGGAGCCGUAGGGAAACCGAGUCUUAACUGGGCGUUCAGUCUCUGGAUAUAGACCCGAAACCAGGUGAUCUAGCCAUGGGCAGGUUGAAGGUUGAGUAACAUCAACUGGAGGACCGAACCGACUAAUGUUGAAAAAUUAGCGGAUGACUUGUGGCUAGGGGUGAAAGGCCAAUCAAACCUGGAGAUAGCUGGUUCUCCCCGAAAGCUAUUUAGGUAGCGCCUCGGACGAAUACUACUGGGGGUAGAGCACUGUUAAGGCUAGGGGGUCAUCCCGACUUACCAACCCUUUGCAAACUCCGAAUACCAGUAAGUACUAUCCGGGAGACACACGGCGGGUGCUAACGUCCGUCGUGGAGAGGGAAACAACCCAGACCGCCAGCUAAGGUCCCAAAUUACUACUAAGUGGGAAACGAUGUGGGAAGGCUCAGACAGCCAGGAUGUUGGCUUAGAAGCAGCCAUCAUUUAAAGAAAGCGUAAUAGCUCACUGGUCGAGUCGGCCUGCGCGGAAGAUGUAACGGGGCUAAGUAGUAAACCGAAGCUGCGGCAAUGUGCUUUUGCACAUUGGGUAGGGGAGCGUUCUGUAAGCGGUUGAAGGUGUGUGGUAACGCAUGCUGGACGUAUCAGAAGUGCGAAUGCUGACAUGAGUAACGAUAAAGGGGGUGAAAAACCUCCUCGCCGGAAGACCAAGGGUUCCUGUCCAACGUUAAUCGGGGCAGGGUAAGUCGACCCCUAAGGCGAGGCCGAAAGGCGUAGUCGAUGGGAAACGGGUUAAUAUUCCCGUACUUCUUACAAUUGCGAUGGGGGGACGGAGAAGGCUAGGUGGGCCUGGCGACGGUUGUCCAGGUUCAAGUGCGUAGG
rnacentral:rRNA from 1 species